AGUCUUGUAGCUCAGCUGGUUAGAGCGUUACACUGAUAAUGUAAAGGUCGGCAGUUCGAGCCUGCCCAAGACUA
rnacentral:tRNA from 1 species